GCCUGGGUGGCUCAGUCAGUUAAGUGUCUGACUUCGUCUCAGGUCACAAUCUCACGGGUUUGUGAGUUCGAGUCCCACAUCAGGCU
rnacentral:tRNA from 1 species